AACUUAUCAAAACCAAUAUUUAAAGUGUUGAUGGUACAUGUAACAUGGUUCAAGAAGUAAAUGAUUUUUCCAACAUCACCUACAUAUCAGUUUCAUGAGGUAGGAAGAGCAGAAACUGAAGUGUCUUUGUGGUUACAGUGACAUAUGCAGAGUCUGCAGAAAAUGCUACUUUAGUUUUUUUCUGUUUUUCUAUUUAAUUAGAGAACAAAGAAUAGCAACCAUGGUAUUAUAAAGGAGGGCCAGGAGGCAGCGGCUGGUGAUGUAAGUUAUUAUGCAACAUCACUGGUCUUGAACAUCUAAGUGAGAAUGUUAUAGUUGCUGUGCAGGAGCCUGCUGCUGGCAGGAAGUCACUGAGUUCAGCUGUGGCUUUGCAGGUACAGCAGAGGCUAACAGAGGAAUAAACCCAGAUGCAUCCUG